rnacentral:tRNA from 1 species
GGGGGAGUAGCUCAGUUGGUAGAGCAACGGCCUUUUAAGCCGUAGGUCCCGGGUUCGAGCCCCGGCUCCCUCA